CAGUAGCCGCGGUAAUACGGAGGGGGCUAGCGUUGUUCGGAAUUACUGGGCGUAAAGCGCACGUAGGCGGCUUGGUAAGUUAGAGGUGAAAGCCUGGAGCUCAACUCCAGAAUUGCCUUUAAGACUGCCGAGCUAGCAGGUGAGAGAGGUAAGUGGAAUUCCGAGUGUAGAGGUGAAAUUCGUAGAUAUUCGGAAGAACACCAGUGGCGAAGGCGGCUUACUGGCUCAUACUGGACGCUGAGGUGCGAAAGCGUGGGGAGCAAACAGGAUUAGAGACCCGAGUAGUCCCUGUCUCUUAUAC
rnacentral:rRNA from 1 species